ensembl:lncRNA
GCCGCCGCCGCCCCGCUCCAGCCGCUCGGCCGACAGCGUCUUGCCCCCCGAGCUGCCCAGGCUGACGGCCCGGUUGGGCGUGUGGGGCUGGGGCGAGGCCGUCAGCGACUGCUGGGGGCUGCUGGAGGUCCGCUGCCACUUGUUGUUGUUGCUGCGGAAGGGGAACUUGUACUCGAAGGAGCCGCCGCUGCUGCUGUCGCUGCUGCCCUUGUAGUCCACCGUGGGCACGCGGAACAUCUCCGAGCAGCCCCUGGGGAGGCACGCCGCGACGGGUGUGUUAGCAGGGCGCCGGGUGUAAGGUGUGGAUGUGUUACCAUUACGAUUGGUAUAGGUUGUGGAUGUGUUAGCAUUACGGUGGGUAUAGGUUGUGGAUGUGUUACCAUUACAGUGGGUAUAGGUUGUGGAUGUGUUAGCAUGUCGGCGGGUAUAGGUUGUGGAUGUGUUACCAUUACAGUGGGUAUAGGUUGUGGAUGUGUUAGCAUUACGGCGGAUAUAGGUUGUGGAU